GACGAACGCUGGCGGCGUGCCUAAUACAUGCCGGUAGAACGCACAGUUUAUACCGUAGCUUGCUACACCAUAGACUGUGAGUUGCGAACGGGUGAGUAACGCGUAGGUAACCUGCCUGGUAGCGGGGGAUAACUAUUGGAAACGAUAGCUAAUACCGCAUAAUAUUAAUUAUUGCAUGAUAAUUAAUUGAAAGGUGCAAUUGCACCACUACCAGAUGGACCUGCGUUGUAUUAGCUAGUAGGUGAGGUAACGGCUCACCUAGGCGACGAUACAUAGCCGACCUGAGAGGGUGAUCGGCCACACUGGGACUGAGACACGGCCCAGACUCCUACGGGAGGCAGCAGUAGGGAAUCUUCGGCAAUGGACGAAAGUCUGACCGAGCAACGCCGCGUGAGUGAAGAAGGUUUUCGGAUCGUAAAGCUCUGUUGUAAGAGAAGAACGGGUGUGAGAGUGGAAAGUUCACACUGUGACGGUAUCUUACCAGAAAGGGACGGCUAACUACGUG
rnacentral:rRNA from 1 species